UCGACGUGAAGUCCUUCGGGACGAGUAAAGUGGCGCACGGGUGAGUAACGCGUGGAUAAUCUACCCUUAAGAUGGGGAUAACGGCUGGAAACGGUCGCUAAUACCGAAUACGCUCCCGAUUUUAUCGUUGGGGGGAAAGAUGGCCUCUGCCUGCAAGCUAUCGCUUAAGGAUGAGUCCGCGUCCCAUUAGCUAGUUGGCGGGGUAACGGCCCACCAAGGCAACGAUGGGUAGCCGGUCUGAGAGGAUGACCGGCCACACUGGAACUGGAACACGGUCCAGACUCCUACGGGAGGCAGCAGUGGGGAAUAUUGCGCAAUGGGCGAAAGCCUGACGCAGCGACGCCGCGUGAGGGAUGAAGGUUCUCGGAUCGUAAACCUCUGUCAGGGGGGAAGAAACCCCCUCGUGUGAAUAAUGCGAGGGCUUGACGGUACCCCCAAAGGAAGCACCGGCUAACUCCGUGCCAGCAGCCGCGGUAAUACGGAGGGUGCAAGCGUUAAUCGGAAUCACUGGGCGUAAAGCGCACGUAGGCGGCCUGGUAAGUCAGGGGUGAAAUCCCACAGCCCAACUGUGGAACUGCCUUUGAUACUGCCAGGCUUGAGUACCGGAGAGGGUGGCGGAAUUCCAGGUGUAGGAGUGAAAUCCGUAGAUAUCUGGAGGAACACCGGUGGCGAAGGCGGCCACCUGGACGGUAACUGACGCUGAGGUGCGAAAGCGUGGGUAGCAAACAGGAUUAGAUACCCUGGUAGUCCACGCUGNUAACGAUGGGUGCUGGGUGNU
rnacentral:rRNA from 1 species